AAAAUAAUCCUACCCUUUGUGAAUUUUGUUUGUUUGAAUAAUUUUUUUUUUUAAAAAUUAUUGGAGUCUUUCCCUUUAGAGUUUGCUUUUGAGUUUGUAAAAGAAUUCGAAAACAUCUAAAGGGGAUGGUCAAUAAUUUUUUUGAAAAAAGACAUUUUUAAAAUUAAACUUUUUGUAUUCAUUUGUCUAAAAUUAUUUUUAUAAUAUAAAAACAACUUUUGACAAUGGAUCUCUUGGUUCUCGCAACGAUGAAGAACGCAGCAAAAUGCGAUAAGUAGUGUGAAUUGCAGAAUACGUGAAUCAUCGAAUCUUUGAACGCAUAUUGCACUUUUUUAGUUUACUAAAAAAGUAUGUCUGUUUGAGUAUCAGUAAAAUAUUCUCAUAAAAAUCAUUGUGUAUUUUUAUGGUUAUGAGUGUUUUACAACGAUACAAGUUGUUUCACUUUAAAUUUUUUUUUAAUAUUGAAAUUUUUCUAAUUUUAUAAUUAAAUUGGAUAAAAUUUUCCCGUCAAAAGGAAUAACCUAAACAAUUUUAAAUGAUUAAUUUUAGCAAAAUUUUCGAAAAAAGGAAAAUUUUUAUUAAAAUAACUUGAUCUCAAAUCAGAUAGGAGUACCCGCUGAACUUAAGCAUAUCAAUAAGCGGAGGAAAAGAAACUAACAAGGAUUCCCUUAGUAACGGCGAGUGAAGCGGGAAGAGCUCAAAUUUGAAAUCUUCAAGGUUUUACCUUGACGAAUUGUAGUUUAAAGAAGUGUUUUCUGCUGAAGUUUUGGUAAAAGUUCUUUGGAAUAGGACAUCAUAGAGGGUGAGAAUCCCGUAUUUGACCAUUAUUUCAGCUUUGUGAUACACUUUCAAAGAGUCGGAUUGUUUGGGAAUGCAGUCCAAAAUGGGUGGUAAAUUUCAUCUAAAGCUAAAUAUUGGCGAGAGACCGAUAGCGAACAAGUACCGUGAGGGAAAGAUGAAAAGAACUUUGAAAAGAGAGUUAAACAGUACGUGAAAUUGUCAAAAGGGAAGCGUUUGACACCAGUGUUGUUUUCUCGAAAAUCAAUUAAAAAUGGCUCGAUCUUGUAUUGCUGAGACCUUAAAAGCUCACUGUACAUUUUUCGUGUCUUUUUUAAUGCACUUUUCGUUUAACAAGUCAACAUCAGUUUCUUUUGUUGUAAAAGGGUCAUUGGAAGGUGGCUUUCUUUUCGGAGAAAGUGUUUAUAGCCUUUGGCCUCUGCAAUCGGAGAGACUGAGGUCUGCAGCGUAGACUCUUCGGGGUUAGAUACAUUUGUGCUAAGUUAUAGCUUUUUAUAGACAACUUGUUGACUAUAAUUAGUCUUGUAGCUUACUCGCUUAUGCUAUUU
rnacentral:misc_RNA from 1 species